rnacentral:rRNA from 1 species
AUAUCACUAAGCGGAGGAAAAGAAACUAACUAGGAUGGCCUCAGUAACGGCGAGUGAAGCGGCCAAAGCCCAAGAUGGUAAUCUCCGUUUUACGGCGAAUUGUAAUCUUGAGUGGCUAUGCUCACCGGGAAUCGACGUCCAAGUGCCCUCGAACGGGCCGCCAUAGAGGGUGACAGCCCCGUACGAUGUCGAGUCCUAACGAGCAAGUCUACAAAGAGUCGGGUUGUUUGGUAUUGCAGCCCUAAUCGGGAGAUAAACUUCUUCUAAGGCUAAAUAUAUGUGGGAAACCGAUAGCGAACAAGUACUGUGAAGGAAAGAUGAAAAGCACUUUGGAAAGAGAGUCAAAAGACCUGAAACCGUUGAGAAGGAAGCGGUAGAGAUGAAUUCUACAGUAAGACAUUGGGAAAUUGAUCUAUCUAUUUUAAUUUUAUCAUUCGUCAAAGGUGGUAUUUUAAAUCUAGGGAAAUCAAUCACUUAUGUACUACUGUGAGGCCGGAUGGGGUUAUAUAGUCUCAAAACUUUCUUAUGAUUGACUUCCUUCGGGAGGUACCAUAAGUUUCUUAAGAAUAUAUAGCCUGAGGUUGCCUUGUGCGAUCCGGUCAAAAUGGUCUUUACCGACUCGUCUUGACGG